AUUGAACGCUGGCGGCAGGCCUAACACAUGCAAGUCGGGCGAGUGGCGGACGGGUGAGUAAUGUCUGGGAAACUGCCUGAUGGCGGGGGAUAACUACUGGAAACGGUAGCUAAUACCGCAUACCAUCAGAUGAACCCAUAUGGGAUUAGCUAGUAGGUAGGGUAACGGCUUACCUAGGCGACGAUCCCUAGCUGGUCUGAGAGGAUGACCAGCCACACUGGGACUGAGACACGGCCCAGACUCCUACGGGAGGAAGCAGUGGGGAAUAUUGCACAAUGGGCGCAAGCCUGAUGCAGCCAUGCCGCGUGGAUGAAGAAGGCCUUCGGGUUGUAAAGUACUUUCAGCCGGGAGGCGUUACCGGCAGAAGAAGCACCGGCUAACUCCGUGCCAGCAGCCGCGGUAAUUC
rnacentral:rRNA from 1 species